UAAAUUAUCAGAAUCUUUUAAUUAGCAGGUCGUUAUUACGACAAGAACGACAAAGAGUACAUAUGUAACGUUGUCAUCGAUGAAAAUUUCUGCGCGAGUGCCGACCGAUCAAGAGACCAAGCUACCGGUACUGCCCAGUGUACGGGGCCCGUUAGGUGAGGGGAUGACCAAGCUACCGGUACUGUCCAGUGCACAGAGCUCGUUAAGCGAAAGGAGUGACCAAGCUACCGGCACUGUGCAGUGUAUGGGAAUGGAUAAGUGAGCGGGUGACCGAGCUACGGGUACUGUCCAGUGCCUCUCGCCAUACAUAAUUCUAGGCGGACGAAUUACCAAGCUACUGGUACGCUACGUCAAAUGUACGGGACCCGAUAGGUGGGGAUCGGCAUUCUGGUCGAAGGAAUACAGUGGGACCUUCGCGGUGUGUAGAGGCCUUCAAUCCGGCGACAAAUACGUGGACAAGAAAAUGUAAUAUGUGGAGGAUGCGUUCAGACGCGGGAAUCUGUGCUUUACCGGGCAAAAUCAUUGUUCUGGGUGGCAACAAAGAGCAUCCCAAGUACGACAGAAAAUACGUAGACUAUGAAGUGUACGAUGAGGCCUCCGACCGCUGGACACUGUAUACGGGCUGGUGGCGGGCCGGGCAGCAACAAGCUUGCGCAGCAUUUCUUCGGCUUCCUAAUGGUGGUGAACCGGCGAACCUCGGCCCGGAUGUUGCGGAAUUCUUACGGCCGGGACGGCGACAACGCAGUAAUUUUGGCUUUGCCGGUCCUCGUUGAUGAGGAAGUAGAGAAGUUUUGAUUCUACUGCAUGAUCAUUACUUCGCUGGUUUGCACUCUUUUGUUUUAAUUGCACGAUACUUCGCGUUACGUACACUACGCAUUCCGUUCUUCACUACAUUUUGCACCUAUAACUACGAGCUUUUACUGGGUUACUGUGUGAAAACUACUGUGUACAAAUUUAUUUUGUA